rnacentral:lncRNA from 10 species
AUUUGGUGUAAGUAUAGAUUUAUGUAGUAUUCUUUCAGUUUGAGAUGUUUCAUUAAAAUUGAAUUUCUAACACAAUUAUAUACAGAGCAAAUUUAAAUCCAUAUGAUGUAGUGUAUAAAUCGCAAUAUUAAUGUGUUGCACCAUGUGCAUCUUACCCACUCUUGAAUUCAUAGAGCUAAAGUAUUACAUAGUAUGCAUGCAAUAUAUAUUUAUUGGCCAUAUGAUAUAUGUCACUCCAUACUUGGAUUAGUUUUUGUCUCCACUCAGCUAGUGUUAAUUAGAUGGGCACAGUAUGAGUUACGAUUUCAUGUUAUAUAGCCAUUCACAGAAAAACGAUAAUGUGCUAAUAUAAUUAUUAACCUUACUGUAAUCAUAUUCUACUUGCAAAUAUAAAAUACAAACAGUCAGGGAACAGCAUGAAAGGGUAUAAAAUGAAGUCAGUUGAGAAGAAAACUGUUUUAAAAAGAAGGAAAUUGGAUUAGGAGUUCAAUUUAUGUUAAAGCUAAACCCAUUAAGCUGAACAGAUAAAAAUUCUCCAGAGCACAGGAAGUAGAACUGGGAAAUUACAGUGGUGAAUUGGGCAAUACAACACAGUGAUCUAAUAAACUAGCAAUUUACCAUAUUAUUAUGAGCUCGAAAGGCAAUUUAAUCAAAACAAUUUGGUUUAUAUUGCUUCUAACCUAGUUGUGUAGUUUCACAUUUUUUUUUAAGUACAAAACUUUUAGUCACAGGACUACAGUUUUAUAAAUUAGAAUAUAUGCUGCUAAAAUAAUUAUUGAAACUACCUUGGUGAUGACUAUAGUUAUAAAGGCAUCCACUUAAAUGCCACAGUAAAUCAAGACACAAUUACAGCCUAGCCAAUUUUUAAUCUUUCUGUAUGUGCCCUUCUGUUUUGAGAAUAAGUAAAAGCACUUUUCUAUUUUUUCCUCUACCGUUUUUUUCAAAUAAAGAUAGUUAUAAAACAUUUAAAAAAUAUAUUUUUUGUUAGAUAUUAAGAAAUUAAUUAAGAGUCUCAUGUCCUAAAAUUUUUAUACAGUUAGUAAGAAUUAUUUAAAAAGUAGUAGGGCACAAAGCACCCUAAAUAUCUUUAUUGUAUAAUUUCUUUUGGAAAAUGGAGCAAUUAUACUUGCUUAAACUUUCCCAAUUUCAUAUAAUUUUAUUACUCUUUUUUUGUCAACCAUAGAAUGACUCUAACGUUGGAAAAGUUAGUUGGGCAUGACAGAUAAAUCUUUCCAUGAAAUUGACCUUUCUAAAACUAUUUCAUUAAGUGUGAUGCUUUCCCAAAGAUAUCUACAGGAAAUAUACAUAAUAGUGAAAUGUUGAAUGCAUUCUUUUUAGAUCACUUAUAAGUCAAUGUUGUUGCACCAUUUAUACUUACAUUACAAUGGAGACAAUGGAGAUCUUAGUUAUUACAGUAAGACAUUAGUGGGAAAUGUGGUUUAGGAUUCUAAAAAGAUAAAGAAGAAACUAGAACUCCCAUAUGCUGCUGGUGAGAAUAUAAAAUGUUAGCUCUGACAUGUAAAAAACUUGGAAGUCAUCAUUCCACUGCACACAAGCUAAAGCUGGACAAACUGAAAAUCAACAACUUUUUUUUUUGACCCAUCAGAAAACUGAGGAUUAGAACAAACCACAUCCUGAAAUGUGGAGAGACAGAUAAAUUCAGAGAGAAACAGCUGAGAUCUACUUACCUGGAACAAAAGCCACUGUAGCCACAAACUGGCACUAUUCAAAAGGAACAAAGGAGAUGAAAGUCAUAAAUAUGAACGAUAUCUAUAAGAUUUUCUGGAAGCCAAAUAAGGAGGAUUUUUAUAAACUCUGGAGUGGCAAAGAUUCUUAAGACACAGGUAAUUUUAAGUUGACAAAAAUUGUAUAUAUUUAAUAUGUGCAACAUGUUGUUUUAAAAUGUGCAUACAUUGUGGAAUGUAUAAAUAGAGCAAAUUGACAUAUGCAUCACCUUACAUAUCAUUUUUUUCAUGGUGAGAACACUUAAAAUCUACUCUCAUAGUAAGUUUCAAUACCUCAAUACAUUGUUAUUAACUAUAGCCACCCAUCGUGCAAUUGAUGUCUUCAACUUAUUCCUUCUAAUUGAACUUUUGUGUUUUUUGACCAGCACGCUUCCCAACCCUUCUUCCCAUCCCCAACACCUGGUAACCACCAUUCUAUUCUCUGCUUCCAUAAGUUCAAUUUUGAGUCCAUAUAUGUGUGAGAUUAUGUGGUAACUGUCUUUCUGUGCCUGGUUUAUUUCACUUAACUGUAAACCAAAAAUAAAAUUUGAAGCCCCCCACCACCACCCAAACAUCUGAAUGCACGCCCUUCUCGGCCAGGGCACUCCAAAUUUUAACCUGAAAGACUGAUUCAGGCCAUGAUGGGAAGUAGGAGUUGGGCAUUCUUCAUUAUACCCCUCCAGCAUUAACAUCGACACAGACUUUAAGUCUGAUAAGAAGCGUUUACAAUCUAUUUUCUUUGAAGCCUGCUAUCUGGAGGCUUCAUCUGCAGGAUAAAACUUUGGUUUCCACAACCCCUUAUCAGAACCCAGACAUUCCUUUCUACUGAUAAUAACACUUUCAAUCAAUUGCCAAUCAGAAUAUGUUAAAAUCUACCUAUGACUUGGAAGCCCCCACUUUGAGUUGUCCCACUCUUCCGGAUGGAACCAAUGUAAAUGUUACAUGUAUUGACUGAUGCCUAAAAUGAAUAAAGGCAAGCUGUACCCCAACCACCCUGGGCACACUUCCAUACAGCUUUCCGUAAUAACAGUAUCAAUUUCCACUCACACUAACAGUGUGCGGGGGUUGCCUUUUCUCUAUAUCCUUAACAACACUUGUUAUCUUUUGUCUUUUUGACAAUAGCCAUUCUAACAGGAGUGAAGUGAUAUCUCACAGUGGUAUUAAUUGCAUCUCCCUAAUGAUUAGUUAUGUUGAACAUGUUUUUAUAUACCUGUUGGCCAUUUGUAUGUAA